GAGCACGUAGGUGGGUUUGUAAGUCAGAUGUGAAAGCCUUCUGUUCAAAGGAAGAACGGCAUCUGAAACUGCAGAUCUUGAGUAUAGGAGGGGAGAGUGGAACUUCUGGUGGAGCGUUGAUAUGUGUAUAUAUCAAAAGGAACGUCGGCGCCGAAAGAGACUCUUUGGGUUACUACUGAGUGUGAAUGUGCGAAAGUUAAGGGAGCACACCCGAUUAAAUACACCGGCCGUCCUAACCGUAAACUAAGGGCACUAUGUAUAUGUGUUUU
rnacentral:rRNA from 1 species